GAUGAACGCUGGCGGCGUGCUUAACACAUGCAAGUCGAACGGAAAGGCCCAAGCUUGCUUGGGUACUCGAGUGGCGAACGGGUGAGUAACACGUGGGUGAUCUGCCCUGCACUUCGGGAUAAGCCUGUGAAACUGGGUCUAAUACCGGAUAGGACCACUUCUUGGAUGUUGUGGUGGAAAGUUUUUUCGGUGUGGGAUGAGCUCGCGGCCUAUCAGCUUGUUGGUGUGGUAAUGGCCUACCAAGGCGUCGACGGGUAGCCGGCCUGAGAGGGUGUACGGCCACAUUGGGACUGAGAUACGGGCCAGAUGCCUACGGGAGGCAGCAGGGGGGAAUAUUGCACAAUGGGCGCAAGCCUGAUGCAGCGACGUCGCGGGGGGGAUGACGGCCUUCGGGCUGUAAACUCCUUUCGCUAGGGACGAAGCGUUUUGUGACGGUACCUGGAGAAGAAGCACCGGCUAACUACGUG
rnacentral:rRNA from 1 species